GCCUGGGUAGCUCAGUUGGUUAGAGCGUGCCACUGAUAACACCAAGGGUGAGGGUUCGAUUCCCGUAUGGGACA